AGGACGAACGCUGGCGGCGUGCUUAACACAUGCAAGUCGAGCGGAAAGGCCCUUCGGGGUACUCGAGCGGCGGAACGGGUGAGUAACACGUGAGUAAUCUGCCCCUAGCUCUGGGAUAGCUCCGGGAAACCGGGAUUAAUACUGGAUACGACCACCUUAGACAUCUUUUGUGGUGGAAAGAAUUUCGGCUAGGGAUGAGCUCGCGGCCUAUCAGCUUGUUGGUGGGGUAACGCCUACCAAGGCGACGACGGGUA
rnacentral:rRNA from 1 species